rnacentral:lncRNA from 1 species
AUGAUUUUUGGAGGUCAUUUGAUCGAGUUUCGGAUUUUUCCAGCUUCCUCACGAAAGUUGAUUUUGGAAUUCCAGAAUAUUCCAGAAUAUUCCGGAAAUUUCUGAAGUUCCGCAAUUUUCCGAAGGUUUUUCUGGAAAUUUCCAAAAAUCCGGAAUUUUCCAAAGGUUUUUCCGAAAUUUUCUGAACUAAGGUGUUGGUUUUCAAAAUCCUUCUUCCGACACUUGUUUUUUACUUCUUCUUCCUUCCGCUAGUCUCAAAUUGGGUUCCUAGCAUCAUUCCUAGAUCCAUUAGCUCGUGCAUAGCUAAAUGGACUUGAUUUUGCUAGAAGUGAGGUUUCUGGAUUGAUUUGGGAUCUUAGCCGAGGUUCUUUGAGAAAAUUUGAAUUGGCUCCCAUUCACCCCCCCUGGUCGCCUGUCC